GAUAGUGACAAUAAAUAACAAUGUAGGGCUCUUAUGGGUCUUAUAAUUGGAAUGAGUACAAUUUAAAUCCCUUAACGAGGAUCAAUUGGAGGGCAAGUCUGGUGCCAGCAGCCGCGGUAAUUCCAGCUCCAAUAGCGUAUACUAAAAUUGUUGCCGUUAAAAAGCUCGUAGUCGAACUUCGGCCUUUGCCGCCCGGUCCGCCUUUUUGGUGUGUACUGGAGCGGUGGAGGCCUACUUCGUGGUGAACGGCCAUGCUCUUUACUGGGUGUGGUCGGGAACCAUGACUUUUACCUUGAAAAAAUUAGAGUGUUCAAAGCAGGCUUACGCCCGAAUACAUUAGCAUGGAAUAAUAAAAUAAGACGUGCGUUCUUAUUUUGUUGGUUUCUAGGAUCGCCGUAAUGAUUAAUAGGGAUAGUUGGGGGCAUUCGUAUUCAAUCGCUAGAGGUGAAAUUCUUGGAUUGAUUGAAGACGAACUACUGCGAAAGCAUUUGCCAAGGAUGUUUUCAUUGAUCAAGAACGAAGGUUAGGGGAUCGAAAACGAUCAGAUACCGUUGUAGUCUUAACAGUAAACGAUGCCGACUAGGGAUCGGACGAGGAUUUUUAAUGACUCGUUCGGCACCUGAAGAGAAAUCUUUAAGUCUAGGUUCGGGGGGGAGUAUGGUCGCAAGGCUGAAACUUAAAGGAAUUGACGGAAGGGCACCACCAUGGUGUAAACAGCCGCAGUUACUCUGCACCUAACAGGGCGCUCGAAAGAGAUGUGUGGUUGGUGUCCUUUUCAAAUUUGCCCUAGUCAAUGCUCGCAUUGGCAAGACGUCCAAAUUGCGGGAAUCUCGGGGGACGCAAGUCUCCAGUGCUCACCGGUACCAAGUCAGCGGAGCGAUCUGCUGAUGGCCAAGUCGUAACAGCCUUGGGUAGGGUAACAAUCCGGGAGCUCAGAGUGAUCCGCAGCGCUUUCGCUACGCCGAAAUCGUUCAGAGGCUAAAUGGAAGGUCGGUUGGUUGUAGGCCAGCUUAAGAUAUAGUCCACGUACUGC
rnacentral:rRNA from 1 species